rnacentral:lncRNA from 1 species
GAUAUUCUGGAUGGAGAAAAUUUCUUUGAUUUUGGUUGAAUUGCUAAGAAGUCAUCCAAAAACUUCUUCAAUUCAGGAAAAAAGGUUCUCUAUUCAAGAGAUGUUCUUCUACAUAGAGAAAUAAAUAAAAGGAUGUCUCAAGGUUAAAGCAUUCAUCCUCUUCAGCUGGAGUAUUGAUGAAGUAUUUCCAAAGGAAGUAGCUGUUCUUUUUAGACUUCGAAAGAUGCUUUGGAAAUGACUAGUGGGAGAAGAGAAGAAACAAAUGUGAUGGAGUCGUGUAUAUUGUGCAAGAUUAGAACUGUACUAAAGAUGAACAUGCUUAAUCUGCUGGGAGUAGGGAAAGGGAUGCUAAUAGCAUGCAGUUGAGGACCUUUGACUUCAGGUAUCACAAAUACAAUGGGCCCUUGAACACAGCCAAGACUAGGGGUGCCAAGCAAGUGGAACAUCUGUGUGUACAGCUUCACAGUCAGUCCUCCUUAUCCAAAGUUUCACGUAUGCAGAUUCAACCAACCAUGGACCAUAGUACUGUAGUAUGUAUGUAUUUUUUAAUUUUUAUUUUCUAUAGUAAAUAUUUAUUGGAAAAAAUAAAAACAUUCUAUAAGUGAAUCCACACAGUUCAAACCCAUGAUGUUCAAGGGUCGACUUUCCUCUAUCAUGACCAACAAGAGAGGAAACAACUGGGCUGUAUUUCUUUUUCCUUUUUUUUUUUUUUGUCUUUUUUUUUAGGGCCACACCCACCACAUAUGGAGGUUCCAGGCUAGGGGCCUAAUCGGUGCUGUUGCUGCCUGCCUACGUCACAGCCACAGCAAUGCCAGAUCCGAGACAUGUCUGCGACCUACACCACAGCUCAUGGCAACACCAGAUCCUUAACCCACUGAGCAAGGCCAGGGAUCGAACCCGCAACCUCAUAGUUCCUAGUCGGAUUUGUUUCUACUGCACCACCACCACAGGAACUCCUUCUUUUUCCUUUUUUCUUUAGUAUUUGAUUGGUAUUAACAAUACCAGUCACGUGGCUCUGAAUAUCAGAGGCAAGUGGAGGUGCUAAAAACUACUGUAAUGCUACUUUACCCAAAUCUCUUUUAUCAUGUUCUCACCACUAAAAAAUGAUAAAUAGAUUUAAUUUAACAUUAUGAAAAAGGAGCUUCAGCUUAAAAUCUUUUCCAUUUUGAAGUUAUAUUUGACCAUUAAAUGCACACAAAUAGAAAGAAGAAAAAUCAUUCCCAGCACCAUACUUAAACACAGCCUUUGUUAAUAAUUUAACAAAGUUUAUCUAUAAAUAGCUCUAAUCUUUUAAACAUGUAACACAGAGGUCCUUGAGUUUGUAUUCAUAAAUGAAAUUGCAACUUUUUUUCUUUAAACUUUUCAUUGAAAUAUAUACAAGAAAAAUGAAACUAAAUGUCCAGAUCAAUGAUUUUUCACAAAUUGAACACCAUCAUCAUCAACAACUAUAUCGGAGUUCCCGACAUGGCUCAGUGGUUAACGAACCUGACUAGUAUCCAAGAGGAUGCCGGUACAAUCCCUGACCUUGCUCGGUGGUUUAAGGAUAUGGUGUUGCCGUGAGCUAUGGUAUAGGUCACAGACAUGGCUCAGAUCCUGUGUUGCUGUGACUGUGGCAGAGGCUGGUGGCUGCAGCUCCAAAUUGGACCCCUAGCCUGGGAACCUCCAUAUGCUCCAGGUGUGUCCCUAAAAAGACAAAAAACAAAAACAAAAACAACCUUAUAAAAAAGCUGGACACUAAGAGAACCCCAGAAGUCCCUUUUAUUUGUAGUACCUGCACCACCUUUCCCUGAAAGGAGAAACACUAUUGAGAUUUUUUAUAGCCUAGAUUGUUUUUAUCUAUUAUACCGUAUGUCCCUGGAAUCACACAGUAUGUAUUUUUUUGUUUGAUUGCUUUCACUCAGCAUUGUUUGUCUUGUUAAUUAAUAUUUUUGCAAAUAAUUGUAGAUUGUUCAGUCUCAUUGCUGCAUUCAGUUGUGUGAACAAACGAUAAUUAUCUAUUCUAUUGUUCAUGUGGAUUUGGAUAUUUGCAUAUUUGGGCUAUUUCACAUAAUGCUUUUAUGAAAAUUUUGGUACAAAUCUUUUAGUGAAUAUAUGCACACAUUUGGAUACUGCCAAAUAUUUUCCCGAAGUAGUAUACCAAUUUACAACUUUAUCAGCAGCAUAUGAGAGUUUUGGAUUUAACAUCUUGUCAAUAUUUGUUUCUUCUGUUUUGUUUCCUUUUAGCCAUUCCAGUGGCUGUGUAUUGGUAUCGCAUUGUGGUGACUUCUUUGAUGACUAACAGAGGAAAACCUACCACUUUUUCAUAAUUUAUAUUGUCCAUUUGAAUAUCGUUUUGUGUAUAAUCAAAACUUUUGCACAUUUUUCUGUUAUCUUUUCUUUAUUAUUGAUUCAUAAUGCUCCUUAUAUAUUUUAGAAAUUAUUUUUUAGAUUGAUAUCUAAUCCUAUUGUGAAGUUUGCCUUUUUAUUCUCCUAAUGAUGUUGUUUGAUGGACAUACAUUUUAGUUUUAAUAUAGUCCAAUUUGUCAAUAUUUUAAUAGUGACUUUGUGUCCCAUCUUUGUCUACUUCAAGGUCAGAAAGGUGUCCAGCUUACUUUUACACUAAAUACUUUAGAUAUUUUCUUUUUACUUAUAUAUUUAAAAUCCAUCUUGAAUUGAGUUUUGUGUAUGGUGGGAUAUUUUGUGUCCUGUGUGACGCAGGACUCAGCAAACUCUGUGUGAAAAUCCAGCUGUCCUUUUGAAAAGUAAAAGCAUUAGUGGAC